AAAUCGUGAAGAAGAACAACAAUACCCAGCAUACAACAACGAAAAUUACGAGAACUCAAACUCAACGGUUCAGCGACUGAUCACAUCAAUCUGGGAAACCCAGUAAAGCUGCAGCAAGCGGCGUGAACAGUACGCGAUGCUCAAUGCUUUUCGCGUCUUCCCCUUCUCUUCUGCCUCAGUCGUACAGACCCACCACUCGCACGUCCCUUUUUACCCUUUUAUUCGCUGAGUUUCAGAGCAAAAUACAACUCUCCACUACUUUUUAAUAGUUGCCUCAAAAAGGAACGAAUUGAUUCAAAUCCAAUGAAUUUUGCCCCCUAGUCGCCCAAGAAUUUUCUGUAUAAAUAACCCUUUGCACUCAAGUAAUAAGGGGGGAGGUUUUUGAAUUUGGAUUCUUAAGACGAUUUGAGUUUGGUUUUAAAGAAAUUGUCACUUCUACUUCAAAUUUUUAUAUCUAGUCUUCUGAUUCUAAGUUCAGAAAAGAUCACCGCUCGGAUUUUCUUCGCUUUCCUUUAGUAUUCGAAAAGAGUGGUGGAAUCGCUCUUCUCGUCGUCCUAGUAUCGCUGCUCUGGGAAAGAGCAUUCAAGGGUCAUUCGGGAAGGAAACGCUCUGGCAAAGUAAUUUAGAGUGAGCGCAAUUGGCCUUAAGGUCCCAAUACUAGUUACCAAUGCUGAUUAGUUUCAGCCUUUUGUUGCAGUUGUGACUCGAAUAUGAGGGUGAGUACUUGAAGUUUUGGGUUUGUUUUGUCUCCUUCUCUUGUUUUAGCUAGUCUUGUUGCUUUUGAGACAUACCUUUUGUGGUCCACUUUUUGGGACUUGUACUCUUUACUAGACAACUCUGUACUAGUGACUUUCAGGUUUUGGGAGGGAUUUUUGUAUAUAUUUAUUUUGGUUUGCUUU